AGACAGAGAAAGAAAGAAAGAAAGAAAGAAGGACAAAGAACAUGUUGGUUGCAAGUGACAGAUCUGAA
rnacentral:ribozyme from 1 species